rnacentral:rRNA from 1 species
GACGGGGGCCCGCACAAGCAGUGGAUUAUGUGGUUUAAUUCGAAGCAACGCGAAGAACCUUACCAGGGCUUGACAUCCUCUGACCGCUCUAGAGAUAGAGUUUCCCUUCGGGGCAGAGAGACAGGUGGUGCAUGGUUGUCGUCAGCUCGUGUCGUGAGAUGUUUGGUUAAGUCCAAUAACGAGCGCAACCCCUAUGGUCAGUUGCCAUCAUUUAGUUGGGCACUCUGGCAAGACUGCCGCGGACAACGCGGAGGAAGGAGGGGACGACGUCAAAUCAUCAUGCCCCUUAUGUCCUGGGCUACACACGUAAUACAAUGGCAACGACAGAGGGCAGCGAACCCGCGAGGGCAAGCAAAUCCCCAAACGUUGUCUCAGUUCGGACUGCAGGCUGCAACCCGCCUGCACGAAGUCGGAAUUGCUAGUAAUGGCAGGUCAGCAUACUGCCGUGAAUACGUUCCCGGGCCUUGUACACACCGCCCGUCACACCAUGAGAGUCUGCAAUACCCGAAGUCAGUAGCCUAACCGCAAGGAGGGCGCUGCCGAAGGUAGGGCCGAUAAUUGGGGUGAAGUCGUAACAAGGGUAGCCGUUCGAAAA